rnacentral:rRNA from 1 species
CUUCGGAACACAAUACCCUCGGGAAACUGAGGCUAAUAGUGUAUACCACAGUCCACCUGGAAUGAGGACUGUGCCAAACGCUCCGGCGCCGAAGGAUGUGGCUGCGGCCGAUUAGGUAGACGGUGGGGUAACGGCCCACCGUGCCAAUAAUCGGUACGGGUCAUGAGAGUGAGAACCCGGAGACGGAAUCUGAGACAAGAUUCCGGGCCCUACGGGGCGCAGCAGGCGCGAAACCUUUACACUGCACGACAGUGCGAUAAGGGAAUCCCAAGUGCGUAGGCAUAGAGCCUACGCUUUUGUCCACCCUAGGGCGGUGGACGAAUAAGGGCUGGGCAAGACCGGUGCCAGCCGCCGCGGUAAUACCGGCAGCCCAAGUGAUGGCCGAUUUUAUUGGGCCUAAAGCGUCCGUAGCUGGCCGCACAAGUCCAUCGGAAAAUCCACCCGCUCAACGGGUGGGCGUCCGGUGGAAACUGUGUGGCUUGGGACCGGAAGGCGCGACGGGUACGUCCGGGGUAGGAGUGAAAUCCCGUAAUCCUGGACGGACCGCCGAUGGCGAAAGCACGUCGCGAGAACGGAUCCGACAGUGAGGGACGAAAGCUAGGGUCUCGAACCGGAUUAGAUACCCGGGUAGUCCUAGCCGUAAACAAUGCCUGCUAGGUGUGGCUCC